rnacentral:misc_RNA from 1 species
AUCAAUGAAACAGCACUUGCAUUUAGAAAGAUUCCGCGUUUUGGAACCUCCCCUUGGAGUUGAUUAAAAGACAAAUUCAAAUGGUUCAAUCCCGUAAGCUGAGAGAAAGAAUCUGGGAUUCCCCCUGAAAAAUUGUUGCGUGAAAUGUCCAGCUCUUGUAAACCUCGCAAGGCACCAAAAUCCUGAAGUGUCUCUCCUUGAAAUGAAUUUCCAUGUAGAUCUAGACUUUGCAAACUCAAACAUUUGCCAAUAGUGUUUGGUAUUGUGCCAGAUAAUCUAUUGUCGGAUAAAUCCAACCGUUGCAGAUUUGUCAGCAAACCAACUUCUAAUGGAACAGGUCCAGUAAGUGCAUUACCAGAUAAAUCGAGGGUAACUGAAAGGGGUGACAGGCCCAUAACCUGUGUGGGUAUUGAACCACUGAGAUUAUUGUGUAAGAGCUCCAACUCGUUCAAGUUAUGACAACUACCAAGACUUGGAGGUAUGCUUCCAUGUAGAUCGUUGAACCCUAAGUAGAGACGAGUCAGAAAAGAUAAAUUACCAAUUGAAGAUGGAAUUUUUCCUGUGAAUUUGUUGCUGCCCAAAUCCAGCAAUUCCAACCGUGGAAAUUUCCCAAAAUCAAUAUCUAAGGGGCCAGUGAGAUAAUUACCACCAAACAGGAAGAAUCUCAGAUUAACAAGAUUUUCGACACCAAUGGGAAUGGCACCAUAUAACUGAUUAUCUGCCACAGAAAGAAAAUGUAUGUCUUUGGAGAGAUUGGCCAUGGAAAUGGGCACGGUCCCUCUGAGAAAAUUUCCUCGUAAACCAAGAGUGAUUAAAUUGGAGCAAUUAGUUAGAUAAUCAAUGAAACUUAAGUCAUCUUGUAGCUGAUUAAAAGCAAAGCUCAAAAUCUCAAGCUCAGGCAGCAUUCCAAAUACUUUGGGAAUUGACCCAGAGAAAUCAUUAUAUUCAAAAGCAAUUUGUUGAAGCGCAGAGGCAUUUGACAAUGAAAUUGGGAUAGGCCCGAUUAACCUGUUGUCUGAAAUUUGAAGGGAGCUCAGCUUUGGAAGGUUGAGGCCUAUGUCAGAGGGGAUAAUGCCAUUGAGUUGGUUAGUAUCCACUUCAACAUCUUCGAGGUUGGAGAUGUUGAAGAGGCCAUAAGGAAUCUCCCCAAUAAGAUUAUUUUCUCCAAAUAUCAAAAUUCUUAAGCUCCCAAGUUGAGAGAUUUCCUCCGGAAUCUGUCCUUGCAAACCAUUUCUUCGGAAAGAGAUUUGCCAAAGAGAUGAGAGAUUCCCCAUGGAUGCUGGAAUACUACCUGUGAGAUUAUUUUUGGCCAAGCCUAGAGCUUCAAGCUUUGGUAAAGAGCCAAGCUCGGCAGGUAUGUUACCCACGAGCUUGUUGUCAAUGAAAUUAAGAUACAAGAGGUUUGAACAGCGGGAUAAGUUGGUGGGUAUAUUACCUUGCAAUGAAUUGCUGCUGAGGUCAAUAUCUUGUAGGCGGUGCAGACGAUCUAUCUGCUGUGGGAUUUUGCCAUGAAAGCUAUUAUUUCCGAAAUCUAUGCGCCUGAGAAAUGAGAGAUUUCCUAUAUGUGGCGACAGAAAUCCUACCAGGCCUUGAGAAUUCAAGAUCAAGGUUACAACCCUGUGAGGAUGGCGGCGACCGCAUGAAACGCCAUGCCAAUCACAGAAGGGCAAUGAAUCGUUCCAAGAAUCCAGAACGCCAAAGGGAUCUUUCUGUAUGGCGUCUUUGAAGGAUAUCAAAGCAAGUCGAUCAGUUUCAUUUUGCAAGCAAGUGGCUGGGUUGAGUAAGGAGCACAGGCACCAGCAAAGGAGAGGAAUGUGAUAAAGAGACCACCACGUAUUAAUGGCCAUAGCCACUUCUUCAAUAUUACCAAUAACCAUGCUAUUGGUUAUUAGCUGAAGGGUUGUACGUAGGCAGCCAUGCUGUCUAGCAUUAUAACUAGCUAUCUAGCAAAAUUAUUAUUCAUUACAUUUGCUGCAUGUGGAUCAUCA